rnacentral:lncRNA from 1 species
UCCCGCUCCUCAUUGAGACCCUUCCAGAACACUACAAACUUGUAAUACUUAGCUGUAUCACCAGCAAACCAUGUCCUUCCCAAUUUCAGGACCUUUCAAUGUGCUUUCCUCUGCCUGGGGGUGGGUGGGGGGUGGAGAGUAGUUUCCUCCCAACCCAUGAAACCUCUCCACAAAGGUAGAAGAGACAGAAAACCAUUACUGAAUAAGUAUUAAACCAGAUUGUGAUGCCGUACAUCACAUGCAACCUGCUAAAGGCAACACAAAGACAGAAACUCACUUUUUCUAUGCAGCUAAGUAGAGAUAGCCCAUCACAUUAUGUAGGUUUUGCAAUUUGGAGUCAGGUGCCAAGUUAAGCCUUUGUCCUCCUAAGAAGCUGGACUCUUGGCCCUUUCGUCCCUUAACAAUUGCAUUUUUUUCUUUCUUUGUUUUUGAGACAGAGUCUCGCUCUGUCUCCAGGCUGGAGUGCAGUGGUGCUAUGUCGGCUCACUGCAACCUCCGCCUCCCGGGUUCAAGCGAUUCUCCUGCCUCAGCCUCCCGAGUAGCUGGUACUACAGGCACGCUUCACCAUGCCCAGCUAAUUUUUGUAUUUUUAGUAGGGACAGAGUUUCACCAUGUUGGCCAGGAUGGUCUCGAUCUCUUGAUCUUGUGAUCCGCCCGCCUCAGCCUCCCAAAGUGCUGGGAUUGCAGGCGUGAGCCACCGCACCCAGCCAACAAUUACACUUCAAGGAGAUGGCUCCCAAGAAACAUUCCUGAGUUGAACCUGGCCAUAUAAGAAAAAGACUUGAGUACAUUUGGAAAGGAGAGAGGCUGAAAUUUUGAAAGAAAAAGGGAGGGGGAUGGUUUCUCGUCCCUUCUUUUCCUCAGGGAAAAUUAAACCCUAUGUAUAAUUUGUAUUUGCCCUUCCACCUGCAUCACCUUUCCCACAUGCUCCCACAGGCAGGCUCCUGUUCAUUCCCAAGGCUCCGUGUCCACAUCGUGCUUGGAUUCCGCCCGGCCCCGCCUGUGCGGCCGCACCAGGAAGGCACCACCCAUUAGGGGCUCAGCGCGUCCCUCCAGGCCACGCCGUCAGGCCUCCGUCCUUUUAGCUGUAGGGGCAGAUUACGUAACUCCAGCCUUCUGGUCACUAAAGGAGGGUAACAAAGGGCGGUCGAGAGACUCCACUGAGUUGACACGCAGACGCAGCCUCAGGACCCUAAACUCUACGCCCCAGCACACCCUACCAAGCGAGCGCCCGCGGCCGCGUGACGUCAUCUACCCCAAACGCUGUGGCCCCGGCCACGCACGGCUUCGGGGCGGGACUACGCGGUGACGUCGAGGUGCGCGGCGCAGCGCGCGGCGUCAGUCUUGGCUGGCAGACCUGUACUCCGUACUCCGUACUUCGUAGUCGCAGCGGCGCGGUCUUCGGCAGUCUAGUCAUCCACCGCCAUCCUGGGCCCCACGUGUUGCCUGACCAUUCCUGAGCCCAGGUGGGAGCCGUGGCUGAGGUGACGGUCUCAAAGUGGAAGAGCUUACUGUCACAGCAACUCCUUUGCAAGAUGCCCCGGCCAGGAAUAGUUGCUGAACACCCCAGGCCUGCUGAGGUCCCUCCUUGAGUCUCAUGUUCAAGCAGUCUUGUGAGUAAAGCACUGGCUACCCCUUUUCACUUACUAUCUUUUCAAGCAUGUUCUACCACCUUGGAAGGUAAGAGGUUAGUACCUUCUUCCAGAGCAGAGGGCAGGCAUUCUUGCUGUGCGUUGUGAAAGGGUAGAGUCCUGCGCUCCUUUCUUGUAGUAGUCCAAUGGCUCAUGCAGGUGCCUCUGACUCCCCUAUGGGAACUGGGGCUUGGGAGGGUGGUGGAAAAUGCUGAUGCUCUGGCUAUUGCUAUUGUUUUGAAUAAUCAGUGGUCCCUUGUCCCUAAUCGAGGAAUUUUGUAUUUUCUACCAGUGUCCAUGAAACUGGGAGGCGACCGUGUUAGCUGCCAGUUCCUGACAGCCACCUCUCACCAGUGGCUUCACUCUGUGUCCCUGACCCAGCACAUGGCACAAGAGUGCCUGCCAUCCGUCAGUGUUUCUACAGCAGCAAUCCCAAGAUGCUGGAGCUAGAGGGGACCUGACCUGAGAGAAGAUACCUUCAGUGGCUGCCAGGCUGUUCCUUGGAACCUGUGCAGGGAUGAGGCCUGCCUGUGUUAAUACACCUAGUGAGGAGUGGAGCUGAAUUUGAAUGCAAGCCUUGGCACCUUAAUUGAGCAAGUUUGAAACCUCGCUUGUUGCCCUUCUGGAAGGAGUCAGGAAUUUCCAGUUCUGGGCCUGGGCUGUGGGUCUGGCAGACAGACCUCUGGCCCUAGGUUUGGGUGCCAGGUUCUCUGCUUCCAGAAUGAGAAGCUUUGCUGUGCACCAGGACCUGGGCCCUUCUGGUAUCUCCUGAAUGAAAAACAAGGGAUAUUUAAUAAAUAUGGAUUUAAAUAUGUGAUUUAGUCUUGCCUGUUUUUUACAUAUGCCAGAUGCAAAGAUAGGAAGACCCUGCGUCUUCUUGAAGGAGUUGUCAGCUAAGUCCAAGGGAUCCCCAAGUAUUUCACCAUUCUCAAUGCUCAUGCUUGUAGAUAGCCACUUGGAACUCUGAUCAUCUUAUGUGCAUGUGCCACCAGUUUCAACUGACAGUGGCAAGCUGUGGUGAGAGUUCACAAGCCAAGGCCAACUGGCUGAGUUCUACAGUGAGGUGAUGGUGCACAAAGGCACUGUCAUCAGGAGCUUUACCUUCCAGGAGCAUUUGAUGGUUGGCUCGAUAAGACAUUCUGUCUCAUCAGAUAGUCUUAGGUAUUCACCUAAGCAUUCAAACAAGUUACAGAAGUAAUACCCUUAAUAUGUGUGAUGUGCCCCAUGUUGGUAUUGGGGAUGUUGUCAAG